AUUGAACGCUGGCGGCAUGCCUUACACAUGCAAGUCGAACGGUAACGCGGGGCAACCUGGCGCCGAGUGGCGAACGGGUGAGUAAAGUAUCGGAACGUGCCCAAUAGUGGGGGAUAGCCCGGCGAAAGCCGGAUUAAUACCGCAUGAGACCUGAGGGUGAAAGCGGGGGACCCGCAAGAGCCUCGCGCUAUUGGCGCGGCCGAUAUCAGAUUAGGUAGUUGGUGGGGUAAAGGCCUACCAAGCCGACGAUCUGUAGCUGGUCUGAGAGGACGACCAGCCACACUGGGACUGAGACACGGCCCAGACUCCUACGGGAGGCAGCAGUGGGGAAUUUUGGACAAUGGGCGCAAGCCUGAUCCAGCCAUGCCGCGUGCGGGAAGAAGGCCUUCGGGUUGUAAACCGCUUUUGUCAGGGAAGAAAUCUUCUGGGUUAAUACCUCGGGAGGAUGACGGUACCUGAAGAAUAAGCACCGGCUAACUACGUGCCAGCCGCCGCAGUAAAAC
rnacentral:rRNA from 1 species